AACUUUCAACAAUGGAUCUCUUGGUUCCGGCAUCGAUGAAGAACGCAGCGAACUGCGAUAAGUAAUGUGAAUUGCAGAAUUCAGUGAAUCAUCGAGUCUUUGAACGCACAUUG
rnacentral:rRNA from 1 species